UUUCUGUAAGGAAUGGAGAUGU
rnacentral:miRNA from 1 species